UCGCCUCCUCGCCCUACUGUCCCAUCUACCCUAGCCUUUCAACUCCGAUCUUUUGUCCGUGUGGAGCUGGUGGCAGGCGUACGGCCAAGGAGACGAAGCAACGGCGGCGUGCCACCGCCACCUCCGAUGCACAGCAGACACGGCACCACCGGCACAAGAUUCGCUUGGGGAGCACAGCCGUCGAGCAAGAGAGGCCCACCGGCCAUGGCUGACCGGACAGAUUAGAGGCGAGGUGGAUUCUGCCGGCAAGGCCCUCUUCCUUUUCUCAUGUUCUGCGUGAUCUGAGGCGGGAGGCGCUGAAUCCUUCCCGAUUGGCCUUCUUCCUCCUCGAUUUGGCCCUUCUUUCCGGCCUCCGCUCAUCUCCGGCCCGUUAUCGUUCGGUUCCCGUGACCCGUCCACCCAUGGAAGACCGCGGCCCCGCAUCCUCUGAACGUCGCAGUUCUUCUCCAUGAAGACUGUGCCCUUCAUAGUCCGACGGGGCUUCGUGCUCUUCCUGCACGAGGAAAAUAGCAUAUGGUGUCGUCCAUGGCGUCGUCGCUAACUCUAGCACGUCAGAGAUGACGGGCCACCUGACAACGAGCUCAAUUGCUCUGAACUUCAGCCUGCAUUGCUUGGACCUUUUUAUUCAGAUGUCCAAUUCUUAUUUUCUGAUGUGUUGUGUGAAGGUUUAUGGCGAGGAGAGGAGAAGUGGUCGUUCGGGUUCUGCGAGAAUGGCAUGUGUGCAGGUUCAUGUACACUAUUGUUUGAUAAAUUGGUGGCAAAUAGCUGUGUGAGCUUCAUUUGGUCAGGUUGUUUCGACUGCAUGAUGCAUGAGACAUGGAUUCCUAAGGAUUGUUCAAGUGCAUUCAGUGUUAACGGAUGGAACACAGAUUAGCCUUGGCCACAAUGAGCAGAAGGAGUACAAUAUGGGUGACUGCAGGUACGUCCCCAGGGACACCGCUACGUCACUGUUGAAGGAAUCACAGUUGUGCUGGAAGGUCCUGCCUUCCUGCUUGUUGUGUCUGCCUUCUCAUCUUAUUUUAUGAUCGUUUAUGUGAAGAAGCAGCAGCAACUUGAUUUGUUUUCUUGCGUAGUAAUAUGUGAGCUGCAUUUGCAGACAUAUAUGGGUCAAGUCACUCUUUGUUAGUUAGAUGUUGUUAGUGUUUUUCUAUCAGACAUGGUUCUGCAAUGGGGUUGACUGCCUAAGGCUCACUCAGAUUUUGGACUUGCUUAAUAACUGCUUCCUUUCAUUAAGAUGUGAGGUCCUGAUCCCAAUGACAGAGCAUCAUCGCCCUCUGAACUAAUGUUCAUGCGAGUUCAUUGUUUGAUUUUGUUGAACCAUGCAAGUUCAAAAUUUGAUGAAGCCAUGCAACUGGUAGAUGCAUCAACAAAGCAUAUAUUUGCAGUGUUCCGAAGUACCGUGUUCCUUCUUUACUCAAUAAAAUUUAGUGUUGUAUUUGCCUGGUAUAAGAAAGAUAGCGCAAUGCCGACAGAUAGAGCUUUAUUUGCCGGGUAUUAAUUUACACAUAGCAGGCUGAGGAGAACACAGAUGCACGGCCAGCUGCGCGGAUUAGCCGAUGGAACCAAUAACAGGGGAAAGGACGGAAAAUAGGAAGGAGA